UACGGAGGGGGCUAGCGUUGUUCGGAAUUACUGGGCGUAAAGCGCACGUAGGCGGCUUUGUAAGUUAGAGGUGAAAGCCCAGGGCUCAACCCUGGAAUUGCCUUUAAGACUGCAUCGCUAGAAUUGUGGAGAGGUAAGUGGAAUUCCGAGUGUAGAGGUGAAAUUCGUAGAUAUUCGGAAGAACACCAGUGGCGAAGGCGACUUACUGGACACAUAUUGACGCUGAGGUGCGAAAGCGUGGGGAGCAAAAAGG
rnacentral:rRNA from 1 species